rnacentral:lncRNA from 1 species
UUCUACAACACCAUGGGAACAUAGGCUUUUUGUAACUCCCGUGACACUUGAAUCACUGAUUAUUUCAAAAGACACGAACUGGCAUAAAAUAAAGAUGUCAAGCAUCUCAAUUACCAUCUCAUUUCUGGAAUUCAUAAACAAAUUGUAAAAACCUUCACAAUCACUGCAUUCCUGUUAGGUGCUUCCUGUGUCUAAGGCCCUACUGUGGAUGUUAAAAGCUUGCCUGGGAGCUGAAGAAACAAAUGAUAUACUUCCAGUCAGGAAUACAGAAUAUGUAGUCAAGAAUAUAAAGAACCUAAGCACAAAUUCCAUCUUUAUGAUACAAAAGAAGGAAUUACAGCUUAAUAUUUGAAUGUUUCCAAGUGAAGAGUGGUUCCUGCAUAGAUUUUAGAGCGUCAGUGCACAAGAAUCAGAACUUAUUAACCCUAAGGACAACGCACUCCAAUCAAAGGAUUUCUUCAAGAAUCUGCACUGCUACCUACAACACCAAAAGGCAUUCUAUGGACUUAAAGCUGCCAGACGUCUCAGGAAGAAACAAACUACACCAGGAAUCAAUCAAGAGGACUCCAAGGCAAAACUAAUCUCUCUGGGUCCCUACCAUCCACAUCUAGAGCAAAGAGGAAAAGGACCAGAUGAAACCAAGCUCAUGAACACGAUUGGUGAACAUCCAGAUCACCUGGGGACAGGCACGGGAGCAGAAGCUGACGACUUCAUUCUGCCAAAGUUAAGCAGCUGA